rnacentral:rRNA from 1 species
UACGGAGGGUGCAAGCGUUAUCCGGAUUCACUGGGUUUAAAGGGAGCGCAGGCGGAUUUGUAAGUCAGUGGUGAAAGGCUUAAGCUUAACUUGGGAACUGCCAUUGAUACUAUAAGUCUUGAAUGUUGUUAGGUUUGCGGAAUGGGUCAUGUAGCGGUGAAAUGCAUAGAUAUGACCCGGAACACCUAUUGCGAAGGCAGCAGGCUAAACAAAUAUUGACGCUGAGGCUCGAAAGCGUGGGGAUCAAACAGG